rnacentral:rRNA from 1 species
UACGUAGGGACCAAGCGUUGUUCGGAUUUACUGGGCGUAAAGGGCGCGUAGGCGGCUUAACAAGUCACUUGUGAAAUCUCCGGGCUUAACUCGGAACGGCCAAGUGAAACUGUCAAGCUAGAGUGUGGAAGGGGCAAUCGGAAUUCUUGGUGUAGCGGUGAAAUGCGUAGAUAUCAAGAGGAACACCUGAGGUGAAGACGGGUUGCUGGGCCGACACUGACGCUGAUGCGCGAAAGCCAGGGGAGCAAACGGG